CUAAAAAAAAGUUGUGGUUCUAAAUUAGGCCAAAAUAAAAGUUUGAAAAGAAAGAUAAAUUCUUAAUCCAAUGCGUAAAGAGCAAUCCACUGCAAAUUGGAAGAAGAAAAUGGUUAUGCUGUCAAGUUCUCUUAUACCCCUGUCAAUUAUUCUUAUCACAACUUCACCACAAGUGACAUCUUGGAGUCCGUCCAUUUUCAUCAUUAAUUUCCAAUCCAAGAUGUCAAUACUUCACUAUCGAUGCUUUAACAACGGAGAAAUUUAAAUCCAGAAAGAAAGACACAUAUAACCAGCAGUUUCAUUCUACUCCAGCCGAAUCGCGUAAGAUGCUUUCAUGAUCCAAUGAAUAAAAUGCGUCUAGAUUCACUCGAAUAAAUUACAUGGGGCCAUAUAUUUUUAAGAUUAUUCCAUAUAUAUACACUUGAUUUACCCAACGAGGAAAGCAUGAACAAACAUACGAUGAGCAAACCCUCGAGAUGAGAACAGACAGAACAGACGGAAACCAGAUCGAGGUGGAGGAUAUCAUAGAAUCGAACCUGCACGAAUCGCCGAGGCCCAGCGGAGAUGGUGAUUCGCCGUUCAACAGUGGAAGCCAUCGGCAUGCGAUCAAUCGAUAUAGUUCUGAAAGAAGAAGGAGGCGAGAAAAGGGGGUCGGCGAAGUGCACAAAGAGCGUGAGGCGAACAGAGGGAGCGAAAGCGCGCGAGGGAGAUGCAUUUUUCUGUACACUAUGCGAUCGAUACCUGUCCCGCUAUUUGUAGACCGCCACUGUGAUUAGACGAGCAGUGGGGCCCAUAAAAGGAGCCCGUCACAGCCAAGCAGGUAGGUUUGUUGGCUACGCUUUGGCAUUUAAGGGCAUGGAUGGGUGACCGUUACGAUCAAAUCCUGACCGUCGAUAACUUUAACGUUCAUCGUAUCACGUGCGUUGCACGUGUUUCUGCAUAACAUCUAUUUGCAUUCAAUAUAUAAAAUAUCACAUCGAGAAGAGAUAGAGAAAGACAUAGAAAUAUUUUAAUAAAUUAUUUUUUUAAUAUUUUUAACUAAAUAUAUUAUUUUUUUAUGUAUCUCAACUAUAUUAAAAAUUAUAUAUAAUCAACUUAAAUAGUUAGAAUUUUAUAAUUUUAUUAUUGUUGUUAAAUAUAAUCAUCCCGAAUUCAUGAUAAUAAAAGACUAUCAUCACCUUCAUUAUCACAAAGAUGACAUCAAUGGAAGUCCAUCGCGGGGCAAAAUUGAGUAAUGCAAUAAAAUAUUACUUUUGAAUACACAGCAAAGAAACUUUAAAACAUGUAAAUCUUAGAUCAUCUGAAAGCAUAUAUGUACAUACUGCCACUGUUUGAUGACACAACAUGAGUACAAAGAUUCUACCAGCUCAUAAGGGGUCCCAAUUACACGCGCUAAUAUCACCAAAAGUAUGAUGUAGCCCAUAAGUGCUACUAAAUACAUUCACUAAUAUCACUAGAAGUAGUUGCCUGUGCAUAUGCAAAUAUGCGACACAAUGUUAAUUUUUGAGAGUUCUUCACAGUCAAAUGUGCAUCGAUUGUUCUUGUCCAUGAAGAACACGUUACUGAUACCAAGAGCAAUUUAAUCUUCUUUUCCAGUUUAUUCCCAUUCAAGGACACUGCGUUCAAUCGGCGAACCAGGAACAAAUGGAACAAAACCUCGCCCACCAAACAUUGGGCGCAUGAAGGCAUCAUCAAACUUGCGCCAGUAAUGGUGAACAGAGCGGGAUGGUGUCAUCAGAAGCAUCCGUAGGCUUGUCGGGCGAGGUAUGCUAUGCCCAGUUUCAAGCUCCGAACCCUGUCCAUUGCCAAGCAGUGGAGAAAGGAAAGAUUUUGGACUUGAAGGCUCCGAUGAGAGACUCAGAGAUCUGGUGAGAUGCUUCAUGCUUGGAGGCAGCAAGAAGUAAAUGAGAGGCUUAGUCAUCAAUCCGAACACCUAAGCAAACGUGGAACAUCAGCACAAAUCUUUACGGCAAAUAAAUUUAUAAUUUUACCUGACAGAACAAUCCAACAACAAAAAUUGAUGUCUUGACAGUCAUCCUAGAGGAAAACAGUCUCAGAUCUUCUACUUUUUCAUUCUUUUGACAAAAUAUAAAGCAAGUUAAAUUUCAAUUCCGGUUAACAAGACCUAAAAUCUUGAGAAAAUCAUCUCUGAGAACAUAAAGGUAGAAUACUAAAUAUAUUUGUUCUUUUGCUGUCGGGGAUAAAUUUAGUGUAUAAGAUGAUCUAGACAAAAAUACCAAUAUCAGUUCCUAAACAAUGGCCAGUAAGCUUCAGAUGGGUACAUCAAAAUUUCAUUUCAAAAUGAACAUAUAAGAUCACUUUAGAAGAAUGCAUGAAGUUCAUCUGGACAGUGAUUAUAACAGAAUCAUGUGGAUCUUUUCCAGCAGGGAAGACAAAUCCAAAAAAGGAUAGAUAUGAGCAGAGACUUAAUAGCAUCCAAUACUAUUCACCUCCAACAGUUGAAAUCAAUACAUGCAAUCAGUAACUGACCUAGUAUCAUGUUAUUCUAGCACCAGGAAACAAGGAAAUGAAAUGUAUCUUACCAUUGUACUGAAAAGAACAACGGUGAUGGUGCUGGUGAUCAUAAAUGCAUUUCCACGCUGGUGAGUAUGGCCAGAUCUAGUAAACUGCAGAAUUACCAUAUAUAACUUUAUCAACAUAAAAGACUUGCAAGUUGUUUGACAUGCAAUAGAUAUAACAUGAUAGACACUUGUUGGAUAUGCACAGUACUUGGUACAUUAAAUAAAGUACAUCAAUAAUCAAACUACAAAAUUUUGUAUUUUCCUAGUGUACUGGAGUACAACAUGCUGUACCAACACACAUACAGGUCCAAGACAGGACAGUACAACUCAGUGUUCAACAUUUAAAUGCUAGACCAUGAAACCUGCUUUGUUUUUAGAAAACCAGAAAAAAAACACAAGGACAAAUUUUCUCUUUUUUGAUUGUAGAUUCAUAGAAAAGAGAAAUGAUGAUAGUUGGUGCUGCCGUAACCGUUGAUGUAAUUAUUGAUCUAUAAAAGAUUGCUUCUGGAGCUAGAAAGUGAUGACUUUUCAUUUUAUUGAUGAGAGAGCAAGUUGACCUGAUUGUAAGCAAGUGCAAUUGAUACCGCACCUCUCAUAAGACCUGCCCACCAGAUUAUAACCUGUUGAUAAUUCGAGAUAUGUUACUGUACUUGAUGAGUGAAAACUAGGCAAAUGAUAAAUACGCAUGGAAAACAAUUACUUGCUGCUUAAAGGUAAUUUUGUCAUUCUGAGAUCUUUUACUUAAGUUGGAGAUGAAAGAUAGUGGAAAGACAAAAGCAGCUCUGCCAAUCAAUACCAAGCCCAACAGAAUUGAGCUCAAACCAACUGAUUUUCCAGGGCUGUAAGCAAGAGAUAUUGUUAGAUGUCCAGCAACCAAUUGUAUUGCACUAAUAAACCAAGUAUGCAUAAAAUGCAGACAAUUUAUGUUUCUAACCAAGCAUGUUAUGAAAUAGAUGAAUUAAGAAUGGAAAUUCUAAAUAUACAACUCUGCACUGAGUAUCCACUAGACAGAAAUGAUCUAUUAUACAAGUUCAGAGUGGCAGAUUCUAUCUUGUUGCUUAGCUUUGUUUAUGAUAUUGAACAAACUAGUAAUUAUUCAAUCAAUAGAUGCCCAACAUGAUAAAAAAGUAGUAAAUUAUAUCAUAAGAUAUAUCAUGGCCCAUAUAUCACAAUUAUGAAUGGAGACCUCAGAUAAUAUUGACAACUGCUAGUCAAAAAUAGCAAAGAUGGUUUAAUCACGAGACUACAGCAUUCGAGCAAUAAAACAUAAGCAAAACAUGGAGUGAUCAGAAAUAUAACAAACCUGUUGCUGACAAACUGCCACUUCUCAAUGUCUAAUGCAUCCAUUCCAACAUAUAGAAAAAGAAAAACUUCAGCAAUAAAUGACAAGGUUGCAAAGGCAUGCCUGAAUUGACAAGUAAAAGAUUAAAAAAAUGUAGUCUGAUUUGUAUAAACAGCCAACGGAGAUAAGGACGAAGUAUAUGUACUUUGUGGUGAUCCUAGAACUCUCGGUCACAUUAUGCCAGGUGUAGUGCGACAUUACUAUCCCACAGAAGAAUACUGUAAGAAUGCCGCUUAAAUCUAACAGCUGCAAGACACAUUAAUAUUUAGAAGUAAUGAUUUUAGGGUGAUCUCAACCAAAUCCAGCAUACUGGAGACAUAAGAAAACUGAUGUUUACUUGGUGAUUUAGGAGAAGAAACUCACUUCAGCUAGCAUAUAAGAAAGAUAAGCCAUAAGAAUCAUAAGAGCAACUUCUCGAUCAGUUGAAUGUCUGGAUAGGGAUCAGAAACAAAAGUAAGCAAUGAUAUAUUUACACAGAACCGAUUUAGAAUAUUUUAUGUUUAAUCAUUUAAACUUCCAAAAAUGAAAAACACAGCAGUGGUUCAAUUGAACCUCCGAUCCUUUCAGCACUGCUAUGCUACGAAUGGUUCUCUACGUGUGACCAAUAUAUAAAAAGAAAGUUUAAGGAAAGGUUGACUUUCUUUUCACAAACCUUCCGAAAUACAACUUUUUUAUGAUAUAAGCACUAAGCAAUCCUCCCUGUUAGCAAAAGAGGAAAAUAUCAACUAAAAUAUAUAACAGCAAACAAGAGAGGAGAGCAGAGAAUUUUCAUAGCAAAUCAUCAUUAAUCAAAACUUACAAGUGCUCCGAGCAAGGUGCUUGUAGAAAAUAGAUAAAAGAAGUUGGCAACAAAUUUUAACACAACUGUGACAUCCAUAUGAACCAGAUCAAAUUUCUGGAUUGCAUUGAAAAGCACCACCGAUGUAGCAUCAUUUACGACACCUUCACCAAAAACCAGGCUAUAAAGCAAAGGUGUCUCAUCCUGGUUAAGCACCUGAUUUUUCAGUAAUGAAUUUCAAAAAUCAGUGAGCUGUUAUGUUACAAAGGACACACAUAAAAGAAAUCUGCUAGAGUUGAGAACCUGCAGAGUGCAAACAGAAUCAGUUGCAGAAAAGAUUGCCCCAAUCGCUAUAGAAAAGAAAAAGGACCAAAUAGAUGAUUAGCAAAAAGAGAAAGGAGAAAAAUUAAUCAGAUACAAGGAGGACCAAGCAAGGAAUGCAUCCGCAAGAGUAUUUACCAAGAUAAUCUCCAAUUUCCAGUGCACCUAUAUCCAUUUUUCUGAAGAUUUCCACAGCACCUGGACCAGAAUUGAGGUCAAGAAUGAACAAUUCUCAACAUGAAAAUCUUGAUACACUUGCAUCAAUCAUAUGAAAGAAAUGAUUGAUCCCAAUCACAUAGAUAUAGAUAGACUAUUUUAAAUUUUUCUUAUAGAGGCAAAUAAGAUUACUUACUAUCCUGUAUGAGGCAUAGAUUGCCUGUGAGCUACUUGGAUACUACACCUGAAAUUACACCAACUUUUAACAAAGAUAAAAGCCAGAGGACAAACUUUCUACCGUAUGCUAUAAUUUGAUUGCUUAUAUCACUACAACUACUUUUUUAGGCACGGGACAAGCUAAAAAUCAUCAACGAUGGUCCAAAACAAAUAAAAAGACCGUGUCCUUCAUGUUAGUAAUUUGAUGACUAUAAAUCAGCAACACUUGUAUUCUGGACAUAUCUUAACAGUCUGUCUGCUGAUUUUUUCCUAAAUCCCGACAAUGUAAGAAGUUAAUCUAGGAGACUUUUCUCCAAGUCUGUUUAGCAAAUAUGCUCAAUGAGUCAUCAUGAUUUUUAAAAACGAAGGCAGAAACCAACAUCAUGAUGUUUUCUUGACUACACAUAUAUCUGAAUAAUUAAAUUCGAACUUAGAGAAUGCAACUAUUUGAGGAAUGAUGUAACAACCAAACGGUGGUGGUAGCGAAUUAUUUUUUAAAGCAAUACAAAGUACUUCUGAACUUCAGAUUUGUUUCCUUACCGAUUGAAAUUAUAACAGCUAAUGCAUGUCAAUCCAUAUUCAGUACUUCAGAUUUGUUUCCUUACCGAUUGAAAUUAUUAUGAAGGAGAUCAAAGUUCCUACUGCACCAAACAGCAUAAUUGUUAUGAAGUUGCGGAAGAACUGCUUUUUCUUUACUUGGAACCUGAUCCACAAGCAAUCAAGUUUUAUGAAAAAAAUGAUAUAGCCAUUCAGCUUGAGAAUCCAGAUUAGUUAAUAUAAGAUAUACUUGCAGAAAAGCAAGAUAAUACAUGCAAAUGGUGGAGCAAGAACGGUUUUGAGCCUGGUUAGUUACACAAAGGUAAGGUGAUAAAAAUUAUAAUUCCAAAAUGGCAUACAGUAAACCAAAAACCUAAGUAAAAAAGGAAUUCUGAGGAUUUCAGAAAAAUAAUAUGUAGAACAAACUUUUAAUAAUUGAAGUGGAUUACCAGCUAGCUUAAAAUGAAAAGCAUUAUUCUUAUCUUGAAUACACAUCAGUUCCUGACUAUAACAUGUUGGAAAGAAAUUAAUCGAAAUUAAUGGACUAAAGUUGAAAAGGACAUCUCCUAGGCUUGCCAUUUAGUUGGUUUCAGUGAUUGCUGUACCGCCCAAAAUAGUACGAAAUGAGCAGUAUGCAUUGGUUCAAGCAUGGGCCAGUACACAGACCAUCCCUGUUUCGGGCGGCCUAGUCCAGUUUGAUGAAAAUAAUUAAAAAAUUGAAAAUAGUGGUGGGGCCAUCUGACUUGACACUAAAAACAGAAAAAAUCCUAAAAUAUAAAUUAGGGCUCCUGAACGCCAGCCCUCUUCUCGCGUUCUACCAUUGCCGCUGCGUGCCUUCUUCUUUUCAGGUAUGCUCCCACCUUUUCUCCUCCUCAUCUUCAUUCUUUCUUCACCUCCACCACUUCUUCUUCCUCCUCCAUCGCUUCCUCUUCUUCCUCCUUCCUCUUUUGUACCUCCACUGCCCCUUCCUUUUCUUCCUCUUUUUCUUCCUCUCUAAAACACUGGUACAUACUGGGGUAUUAACACAUGGUACACCGAUAUUGACCGGUAUGUACCAGUGCAAUAGAUCACCAAAACGGAUCCAGUAUCCAAAACAAUGAUCCUUGGUUGGUUUAUCAAACGGUUUCAGAAUUCUCCAAAUUCAAACAAUCUGUGAGUUCAUUUUU
rnacentral:lncRNA from 1 species